AGACUGCAGCUGUGUCCGCGGUGAACCUGCCGGUCUUGGCACUGCUGCUUCUAAGUUUAGAAAUGUCCCAUCAGACCUGAAGCCUGUGGGUCCAGAAGACACAUUUGAUCGGAUCCAACCUUUGGAAGAUCUGCUUGGAAAUUUCCCACUUCGUGUCCUGAGUCCAGGAACCCAGCAGUGGAAUUUUGUAGUGAGUGGUCCUUUCUUCCACCUGAGGCUCUAUCCCCUGUAUCCAGUCAUUCUCUCAUUGUUUAAGGGUCUAUUCAAGACAAGUUUAUCAGAGCCAACUGCACAUCAGCUAGUUGGGGAAGCCAGAACGGUGACCAAAGCCAAUGAUAUCUGUACCCUCAUGGAAAUAGCGGUGUCAUGGAGGUCAUGGCAGUGCAGAGGUCCUGAGGCAAGAAAGAGUUUGAUGCGUGAAAAGGGCAUGUCUGGACACAUGGGGAAGAGGUGGAGAGGAGUAACUCUUUCAGGACCUCAGAGGUUGUGUUAAAAUAUGGAUUUUAAGUCUUAAGAGCAAUAGCUACCAGUAAUGACCAGUUUUAUGUAGGAAAAUGACAUGUGAUCAAAAUUUGCCUCCUAAAAACAUCACUCCAAUUUCUGAGUGGAGACAGGUGUGGGAGCAAGGAGAGUUAGGAGGCCACCGUGUAGUCUAAUGGGAGGUCAUGGUGGCUUGGAUCAGGGUAUUAGUGGUAGAUGUGAAGGCCAUUGGAGAGAUACUAGAUGAACUUGGGCAGUAGUACCUGCCAGUUGUGAUGGAUCAGAGUGGAGGAGGGGUGAGAAGGGUCUUAAGCAUGACUCUCCAGAUCUUGGCAUGGACAACAUAAUGGAGAGGGAAGUGUCAUUUCCUAUGAUGAGAAAGGUUGCAAGAGAAUUAGAUUUGUGGGGAAGAUUCAGCUUCAAUUUGGGACUGAAAUUCUUUUUUGAGUUUGAGUAACACCUAAACACAGGGGGCUGGGGGAGGAAAUCAGCAGUUAGAUGGCCAGGUCUAGAGUUCAGGAGAGAAAUAUGGGCUAGCUCGAUCAUUCCUUUAUUCCUUCAUGGUGUUCAGUUUGAGGGUUCCUGGAUGGAGGCUUGGUCUGAACCCAGGGCAGUAAUUCAUACAGGGUGAUUACGAGAUGAUUUGAGGGGCUAGGAAUAAUAGCUACUUAUUUCUGCCAAAGGUUUGCAUGAGGCAAGUGCCUGGAUGGGUGCUCAUUGCUAUGGUUGUUAGUCAAGCAUCUUGAGCAUGAAGUGGAAGGUGGACUGCUGAACCUUUGGUGCUCCUGCCUGGGCUUGGCGUUGGGAGUUGUCCCUGAUAGAAACAAAGGGGUCGGAAUUUUAGACUCCAGUAAACAUGAUGGUGAGGGUAGCAGUGAUGAUGGAGGUGGCGAUGGUGGAUAUGGUAGAGUUAGAGGGGAUGGUGAUGACGGUUUUGGUGAUGGUGGUGAUGAUGGUGAUGAUGGUGGUGGUGGUGGUGAUGAUGGUAUUGGCAAUGGUGAUGGUGGUACUGAUGAGGGAGGUGGUGGUGGUGAUGAUGAUGGUGGUGGUCAUGGUGAUGGUGGUGGUGGUGAUGAUAUUGAUGAUGGUGUGGGUGAUGGUGAUGAUGGGGUGGUGGUGAUGGUGGUGGUGGGAAUGGGCCCAGUUAGUAUGUGUUCUUUAAACUUAAAUUCACACCCAGUCCUGUGAUUUCUAUUUUAUGUGUUCAUUUUCCAUGCCAGGAGGUAGAAAAAGUGUAUAUGAAACUUAGCUGUUUAAGAUACAGGAUUUACAUUAACCGUCCGUUUCCCAUCACUGUAGAGCCCAAUUCCCCUCAUCAUUUAAUUAGUAAAGGCAGGGUCCUUGGAGGUGGGGAAAUGCGUGGAUAAUGUUCCAAACCCUUAAUCUUUCACCCUCAUGAGUCUCAUAGUAUGCAUUUCUUCAGUGGAUAUCAAGUAUAAGAAUAAGUAUUUAUUUGCCUGCCUUCCACAGACAAAUUGUGUCAUUAAGAACACUAUCAAAGAGGAUAUGUCUCCAUUGAGUGAUGUGGGUUAUUAUUUGUGUAUAAUUUUUUGAGUUCAUUUAUUCUACAUGGCCUAGAGGACCCAGAACUUGCUCUGUUCUCUUAGACGUAACAAGAGGUUAUUUCGGGAGCUGAUUACUUGAUUUUUUAAAAAAAUUUUGGUCGUCCUGGGGUUGAAAGCUACAGAGAGGGGUGAUAUGCAUGUGUGCAACUCUAUCCUAUAUUUGGAAUGGGCUGAUCUUUUUUUUUUUUUUGAUAGAUUGUUGGCUGCUUGGAAUCGCAGAUGCAUCAUUAAGCUAUUGCAUUUAAAUUUAGCUCUUGUUCUCACUUUGGAAGGGAAUGGAAUGUUUCAAUUAUUUCACCACGAAGGGGAAGUGAUUAGAAAAUAGAUCCUCAUGACUUCUCAAAAAUAAGAGGUCUAGCCAGUGAGUCUCAGAGGGGGCUGCAUAUUUGACUCAGAAGAGGAGGCUCUUGAGUGGACCUUCAGUGUGGAGGAAAUUAAAAUUGCCUUAAGCAGGAGUUCCUGCUCUGGCACAGUGGGUUAAGGAUCUGACUGUAGAGGCUCAGGUUGCUUUGGGGGGAGGUGUGGGUUUUGAUCCCUGUCCCAGUGCAGUGGGUUAAUAAGGACCUUGUGUUGCCACAGCUGUGGCACAGGUCACAGCUGUGGCUUGGAUUCAGUCCCUGGCUUAGGAACUUUCAUAUGCUGCCACUGCUGUGGCCAUUAAAAAAUAAAUAAAUAAAUAAAUAAAAAAUAAAAUUGCCUGAAACACACCUUGGUGAUCACUAAGGUUUAAGCUCCCCAAGGGCAGCGUAUAUGUAAGCCAGCCAAGAUCAUUAUUCUUAAUAGGAUUGUGUCCACUCUUUUAAAUAGGGGCCAGGGCCCCUCUGUGUAAACAAAACAUUAAAAUGUCUAUUCCUAGACCCAAGUUGAAGAAAUGUCACCCACAACACUUUCACAGGGUUGAAUAUGUGAAUAUGUGGAAACAUCUUUAAAAUCAUUUUCCUUUGUCAGAUUUCAGGGGCAGCAGAUGCCCCUUGAAGUCAUAUCUUAGGUGUAUAAAGAAUGAAAAUCAUAAGUGACUAGACAUAGUUCCAAGUGCUACAUCCUGUAUAACUUUCCCAUCCUUGAUCCCCAUCAAUAAUCACAGCUCUCCAUUGGAUGUUUCUUUUCAGGAUUUUCAGACCCUCUUCCAUGUGUAAAAAAUAUAUACACAAACAUAUACAGAUGCCUAUGCAUAUACAGUAGGAUGAGUAGGCAUUCCCACUGUGGCACAAUGGAAUGGAUGGUGUUUCUGGAGUGCUGGGACACAGGUUCAAUCCCCAGCCCUGCACAGUGGGUUAAAGAUCUGGUGUUGUCAAAGCUGCAGUGUAGCUCACAACUGUGGCUCGGAUCUGAUCCCUGGCCCAGGAAUUCCAUAUGCCGUGGGGCGGCCAAAAAAAGGGUGUGUGUAUGUGUGUGUGUGUGUGUGUGUGUGUGUGUGCAAAUAUUUUUUAUGUAUGUGUCCCCAAGUACAGACAAAUACUUCUCUGCAAUUUAUAAAGUUCAUUUUUCAUGACUCAGGAAGGAAAUGGAUAUAUUCAGUUUGUAAAAUCUCAAGGGUCUUUGACUAUCUCCCUUUUACACAUUCACCACUAUUAUUGGUUUGGUCCUUCUGGACCUUUUCCUACGUAUUUGUGUUUGUGUGUGUGUGUGUGUGUGUGUGUGAGAGAGAGAGAGAGAGAUAUGUCUAACAGCCUGACUUUGUACAUAAUAGCUGCUCAGUCAAUAUUUGCUGAAACCGGAGAUGGUUGACCCUGCAAGGAAAUGGACCCAUUGGUCCAUUGGCACUUUGACCGCAACAGCUGUUUUUCACUCCCCCUCUUAGAUAAGUUGUAUUGUUCCUGCCUCCUGGGGUUGGCCCCAAAGAACUAAGUACUCAAUUCCAUGAGCUCUUGGAACACAGAUUGCAUCCAACUCUGCAUACAGUUGGAGAGAGGGAAAUUUUGUCUUCUCUGCCUCUGUGGAGGAUUUUGUGACUGUCAGCCUGGGGAAGGCAUAGCCAAAAUCUAUUGACCAACCCAGUAUUUCCAGAGUGUUCUACAGGGAACCAAAUAGACAUCUAUGGUCAACAAAGCCUGGAUACAGUAAUGUAGUUACUAGAAAAAAAAUUCUUUAUUAAAAAAUUAUAACUAGCACAGUAAUACAUGGUUUCAUAGUAGUAAUACAAAGUUUCUCUUUUUUCAAGAAAUAAAUCUUGGGGUUCCCAUUGUGGCUCAAUGGGUUUAGAACCUGACAGAAGUGUCUGUGAGGAUGCGGGUUUGAUCCCUUGCCUCCCUCAGGGCAUUAAGGAUCAGGCAGUGCCACAACCUGCGGUGUGGGUCUCAUAUGUGGUCAGAUUUGGUGUGGCUACGGCUGUGGCAUAGGCCUGUGGCUGCAGCUCCUAUUUGACCCCUUGCAUGGGAACUUCCACAUGCUGCAGGUGCAGUCCUCAAAAGAAAAAAAAAUUAUUUUAUUUUUAAUGAUAAAAUACAUUUCACCUUUACUAGUUUAUUUCCUGGUCAACCAACACAUUUUUUUUCUAUUUCAUUUUUCAAAAUGUUAUUGAAGUAGAGUUGAUUUACAAUGUUGUAGUAAUUUCUGCUGUACAGCAAAGUGAUUCAGUUAUGCAUGUACACUCAAGCAUUCUCUUUCAGAUUCUCUCCCUAUGUAGAUCAAGACAUUUUCAAUUUGUUUCAUUAUAUAAGUUUCAGGGGCACAGCAUUAUAAUUUGGCAUCUGUAUGCAUGACAGAUUCCACCAUGAGUCUAGUUACGGUCCUUCAUCAUAUGCUUUGACCCUUCACCUUCCCCCCAACCUCAUUCCCCUUUGGUAACUCCUAAUCUGAUCACUGUAUGUAUGAGUUUAUUUUUGUUUUAUUUGUUUUGUCUUUAGAUUCCAUGUAUGAGCGAAAUCAUAUGGUAUUUGUCUUUCUCCAUCUGACUUCUGACUUAUUUCACUUAGCAUAAUGCCCCCAAGGUCUAUCCAUGUUGUCAAAAAUGGCAGGAUUUUGUUCCUUUUUUAUGGCUGAGUAGUAUUCUAUGUAUAUAUAUAUAUAUACACUGCUAUCUUAAUCUAUUCAUCUGUUGACAGACACUUAGGUUGUUUCCAUAUCUUGGCUAUUGUGAAGAGUGCUGCUAUGGGAGUUCCCAUCGUGGCUCAGCGGAAACGAAUGUGACUAGCAUCUAUGAGGAGGCAGGUUUGAUCCCUGGCCUUGCUCAGUGGGCUAAGGAUCUGGCAUUGCCAUGAGCUAUGAUGUAGGUUGCAGAUGUGGCUCAGAUCUGGCAUUGCUGUGGCUGUGGUGUAGGCCACAGCUCUAAUUCAGUCCCUAGCCUGGGAACCUCCAUAUGCCAUGGGUGCCGCCCUUAAAAAAAAAAGAGAGAGAGUGCUGCUGUGAGCGUUUGGGGAGCAUGUUAUCUUUUUAGAUUACUGUUUUUGUGUUCUUUGGAGAAAUACCUAGAAGUGGAAUAGCUGGAUCACAGGAUAGUUCUAUUCUUAAUUUUUUGAGGAGCCUCCAUACUGUUUUCCAUAGUGGCUGCACCAGUUUACAUUCCCACCAACAAUGGUUCCCUUUUCUCUACAUUCUCUCCAACAUUUGUUAUUUCUGGUCUCUUUGAUGAUAGCCAUUUGGACAGGCAUGAAACUGGACAGCCACAGGCAAAUAAUGAAACUAGGAGUUCCCGUUGUGGCUCAGAAGGUCAAUGUUGUCUCUGUGAAGAUUUGGGUUCAAUACCUGGUCUAGCUCAGUGGCUUAAGGAUCCGGCAUUGCCACAAGCUGAAGCAUAGGUUGCAGAUGCAGCUUGAACUUGGUGUUGCUGUGGCUGUGGCAUAGGCCAGCAGCUGCAGCUCUGAUUUGACCCCUGGCCUGGUAACUUCCAUAAACUGCAGGUGCAGCUGUAAAAAAAAAAAAAAAAAAAAAAAAAAAAA
rnacentral:lncRNA from 1 species